rnacentral:rRNA from 1 species
GAUGAACGCUGGCGGCGUGCCUAAUACAUGCAAGUCGAGCGAACAGACGAGGAGCUUGCUCCUCUGUCGUUAGCGGCGGACGGGUGAGUAACACGUGGAUAACCUACCUAUAAGACUGGGAUAACUUCGGGAAACCGGAGCUAAUACCGGAUAAUAUAUUGAACCGCAUGGUUCAAUAGUGAAAGACGGUUUUGCUGUCACUUAUAGAUGGAUCCGCGCCGCAUUAGCUAGUUGGUAAGGUAACGGCUUACCAAGGCAACGAUGCGUAGCCGACCUGAGAGGGUGAUCGGCCACACUGGAACUGAGACACGGUCCAGACUCCUACGGGAGGCAGCAGUAGGGAAUCUUCCGCAAUGGGCGAAAGCCUGACGGAGCAACGCCGCGUGAAUGAUGAAGGUCUUCGGAUCGUAAAACUCUGUUAUUAGGGAAGAACAAAUGUGUAAGUAACUAUGCACGUCUUGACGGUACCUAAUCAGAAAGCCACGGCUAACUACGUG